UUUUUUUUUUUUUUUUUUUUUAAGAUUUUAUUUAUUUAUUCAUGAGAGACACAGAGAGAGAGAGGCAGAGACACAGGCAGAGGGAAAAAGCAGGCUCCCUGCGGGGAGUAUUAUGCGGGACUUGAUCCCAGGACUCUGGGAUCACACCCUGAGCCCAAGGCUCAGCUCAACUGCUGAGCCACCUAGGGUCCCCAGUUGUUACCUCUUGAUGAACCUUGGUCUAGUUCCCAUUGGGGCCUAACCACUGUGGACCCAAUUGUCAUUCUUGUCUUCCUCCUGAGAAUUCUUCUCUGUUCACCUAACACUUCAGCCAAACCAGGCCCUCCACACUCUGAGUCUUCCUACAUGCAUGUCCUUUCCUCUGCCUGGAAUGCCCCCAACUACCCAUCUUCAGGGACUGGCUCUAGGGCCAUGCCCUCCUAGGCGCCUCCCCUCCCCAUCUGGCUGGAGGCCACAAGUGGCUUCUCAUUCUGUUUGGGCAUAGUUCUUCAUUCUUGAGGCUGCUUCAUCACUGGUGGGGCCCAAGGUGGUCUUUGGUACACAGUAGGUGCCCAUAAACAUCUGUAGCUGGGAAGAAUGAGUCUAACCCAAUUCCUUCAUUCUACUGCUACCAGGAGAAAGGACUAAGGCGGGGCUCCUGCAGGGCUCCUCCCCAGGCUAGGAUUUUUCUGCCAUUCACUUUGGGAAGGAAGCCCUCCAGGGGCCAUGGUUCCCUGGGAAGACAACCCUCCAGAGUUCAGACUCUUCUCAGCUAGGAACUCCACCACUGUCCCAGACACGCCAUCCGCUCUGGAAGGUUGGUUCCCACUCUCUCAGAGCCCUCCCACUGCCAUUCCACAACUCCUAGCACUACCGCCUGAUACUGUCAGAGGCAGAAAGGGCCUUCAGGAUUACGCAUCUAGGGCACCCACAAAAGCCUCAAAAGGUCCUUAGCCUCCGAGCUGUGUGCACAACUGUGUGUGUGUGUGUGUGUAGAUUUCCGCAGUGAACAUCCAGAGACACCACCUGAAUCUCACUGGUGUCCAAGACCCAACUGAGAUACAGAACAACUUACUGUGACUCUUGAGCUCCUCAUACAGGUGUUAAUAUACGUAAGGGUCUUACAGCUGUACCUGGUACAUUUUAAGCACUCUUUAAAGAAUGGGUUGGCUCACAGUCUGGUUUCACAAAUAAAGUUUUAUUGGAACACAGUGACACCUUUGGUUUUGUAUUAUCUACAGUUGCUUUCCCACGAUGGCUACAAGGGCAGAUUUGCAACACGGAUGUAACUAUAUAGCUCACAAAGUCCAGGAAGAAUUGGCUGCCACUAUGAUAAUUAUACAGGUGAACAGUAGCAGGCUCUAAGCCACACGGUUAGUAAUCCGGGGCUUGAAUCUACGUCUGUUCAAGGAUUCUGUAACACACCUCUGUGCCUCUCCACUCACCUUUAACACAUGGUGCUCAUUCAUCACUCAGCAAGGGUUCAAGGAACCCCUUCUGUAUCCUCCAGGCUGAACUACUGGGGGCAAAGGUUGGGGGGGACAGUUGAAGCUGACCUUACGGCUUUGAAGAAUGACUUUACUCUGCCUCCAGGUCCUUAAGUGACUAGCCCUGUGUACCUUCUUUUUGUCUACUGAAUCCACAAAUAUUCUUUCUACCUCAGGACCUCUGCAUAUGGCUGGCUCUUUCCUGCCAUUCAGGUUUUAGCUCACAUAUCACCACCCAGUUAAAACUCCUGGGCUCAAGUCCCUUUUUAUUCUUACAUGGCACUUAUGACCAUUUUCUAGUGCCUCGAACAGUGCCUGACAACAGUGGGCACUCAUGGUACUCAAUAAUUGUUUAUUACCAAAAUGACUCCUGGACAGGAUGUCAGGCAAUAUGGCUUCUCUUUUUGGCUCUGUAAUCCCACUCACUGAACCACAUCUCCCUUCUCUGGGCCUCAGCUGCCUCCUAUGUAAGGUAGAAUGUGAGGGGUGGGUGAGAAGCCCCUAAUCUUUUGGCUUGAGCAUUUUAUGAUUUGAAAGCACUUGCCAGGGACCUGCCAUUGGUAGGUUUGGUGGUAAUAGGCUAUAUUUGACUGUGAGCCGAGGUCCCAGCCCAGGCCCUGGGGACAGAUGAGAAAGUCUCUACUGAGGGACGAGGGAAGGAAGAGGGGGGAGGAGGCCGAGGGGAGACCAAGAAUCAGUCAGGCAGGGAAGGCUCUGAGAGCUGCAGACCAGGGGCCAAGUGCACAGAAGACGGAGGCAGACGAAGAACAGGGAGGAUAAGGGUUCUGGGAAGAGCUUCUUUCACUUUCUAGCCUCUGAGCUUUAGAGCUGUUUGAAAUUUGUAUAACAAGUAUGCAUUAUUUUUGCAACUGGAAAAAUGAAAAUGUGCAUGCCCUUUGACCCAGCAACUCCAUUUCUAGGAAGUCGCCGCAGAUAGAGGCAUGUGUGAAAUGACCCAUGUACAAAGCUAUUCAUGGCAGCCUGUUUGAAAUAGCAAAAUACUGGAAACAAUCUAAAUGUACAUCAAAAGCCGACAGACAGGCUAGAUAAACCAGGGCAAAUCUAGGAAAUGGAGCAGUAGAGAGAUGUUAAAAGCAAGAGCCUAGCAAGUCUCUAAGUCCUGAGGUAGAAUAAUCUCCAAAAUUUGUUAAGUAAAAGAAACAAGGUACAGAUGACAUAUACAAGAUGCUGCCAUUUAUAUGAAAACCUAUAUGCACAAAUGUUUAUAAAUGCUCAGAAUAUCUGUUCACGUACCAUUUGCUAGGGGAUAGGGUUGGUGGGAGCGACUCAGUGUUCAGUAUUCUUUUUAUAAAGUUGAGGUAAAAUUCACAUAACACAAUAUGAACCAUUUUAAAGUAUACAAUUUUGGAGGCGCCUGGGUAGCUCAGUGGGUGAAGUGUCUGCCUUUGGCUCAGGUCAUGAUCCUAGGGUCCUGGGAUGGAAACCCUUCAUUGGGUUCCCUGCUCAGCAGGGAGCCUGCUUCACCCUCUCCCUCUGCACCCCACUUGUGCUUGCUGUCUCUCUCUAGUGCUCUCUCAAAGAAAUAAAAAUCUUUAAAAAAGUGUACAAUUUCCGUACAGUUCAACCAUCACCUCCAUGUCAGUCCACAUUUUCAUCAUCCUAAAAAGAACCUGCCAUUCCCACUAGCAGUUCCCAUCCCCUCUCCCCCAGCCCCUGGCAACCACUAAUCUGCUCUGUCUCUGUGGAUUUUCCCAUUCUGGAUAUUUCAUAUAAUUAGAGUCAUACAAUAUGUGACCUUAUGUGUCUAGCUUCUUUCGUUUAGCAUGUUUUGAGUUUAUCCAUGCUGAUCUUCAUCAUGGAUUUUACAUUUCAUUGUAUGGACAUACCACAUUUUGUUUAUCUGUUCAUCAGAUGAUGGACAUUUGGGUUGUCUCCACCUUUUGGCUAUUGGCAAUAGCGCUGCGGUAAACACUCAUGUACAGGUUUUGGUUUGUUGUUUUUUCAGGUUUUGGUUUGAAUACAUGUUUUCAAUUCUUUUGGGUACAUAUUUAGGAGUGCAAUUGUUGGGUCAUAUGGCAAUUCUGUGUUUAACUGUUUUAAGAACUGAAAGCUGUUUUCAAUAUUCUUUUGUACCUUGUGAAUUUUAUGCUAUGCGCACCAUAAGCAAAUGUCAGCACUUCCCCCACCUCACAAAAGAAAAGAAAGUGAAGGUGUACAUUCAUGGAAAGAAAAAAAGCAUACUGCAAAUGCAAAGGAUUAUCGUUAGGUAAGAAAUGAGCAAAUAUUUAUCU
rnacentral:lncRNA from 1 species